CAAAAAGCGAGAGAGCGGUGGAUAAGAACUGGGUUUAGAAAAUUUGUUCUAGAUAGAGCUCUGAGUUAUUACAGCGGUUGUUCAAGCGUCAAUACGAGACAUUUUCCAACAAAGUACAGAUAUAAAAGGGCAAACAACACAGCUGGAUAAAGCAUCCUAAGUCUGCACCUCGUAAAGCUAUGACAAUGAGAGAAAUGUAUCCACCCAGGCAAUCAGAAUAUAGAGUGCAACCCGGAAGGUGUGCUGCAGC